UACUAAGCUAUAUUAACUAGGAAAAGGUAUUCUUAAGUACAAAAUAAUUUUAAGUUGUAACCUCAUUAUUACUACAAUGGCAGAUGACGAAGAUAAGAAAGAAGUUGAUGAGUCUGACACCAGACCAGAAUUUUUUUGGAACUAUCUUAACAAAACAAUGCGAUUAAAAUUAGAUAAAUGGACCAAGCUGAUAACAACUAAUGAAUACAAGGACCAUCAACUGAACCAAUAUAUUAUAUACGUUUGGGUUAUUUAAGCUACGUCAUAGUGUCACGUAAGCCCUUCAAAAAGUGUACGCGGCUAUGUAUGCUGUCUUGAUUCGCAACCC